AGUCCCCGAGCGGGUCACAUUCCCUUUUGAGCCUUCACAUGGAUGGCUUCAGGAAGCCAUCUGCACCCCUCCCUCUGCCUCACCCCCUAUGUGCGUGGAGCAGAGUGAGAGGAAACAGGCUCCAGAGGGGCAAAGGGUUUGGCACUUACACAGCACCUUCCGUUUGUGCUUUGUCACGAUCCGGCGCUCUGGCAGGAGCGGAUCUCUCAGCUGUGGGAGGAACACGAACAGUCGCAGUUAUAAUCGUGGCCCUUCAGUGAUGAUGUCUCCCAGCAACCAGCCAGAGCACGCUGUAGCCUGCCGUCUCCCCAGGCAGGGUGAUCUCAGAGGGCAGCCCUGGCCUGUCCCCAGUGUCCCAGGAAUUCAGAGGCGCUCCCUGCCACUAAGUGCCUCCUCAGUGUGCUCCUGCCAAGCAUGAAAAGAGAGAGAGAGUAACCUUUGGGUAGGAAAAAUGGCACGGAAGAGAGACAGAAAUGGUCCACGCUGAUGUGUCUUCCAGCCAAGCCUGAGGCUCCUCUGGGUGGCUGUGCCCCGCGGUGCAAAGGAACUGACAGGCUGGGCCUUACGGGCUUUGUGUUUGAAAAUGGGGAUUUCUAAGGUCUCUUUAGUUCUCGGUCCAGGCCUAAAGGCCACAAGGCUGGACAGCCUUCCACCAGACCUGCCGCCCACCCAGCUCCUGGGGCGCAGCUGCAUGGGGGGCUCUGUGGAUGUCUGCAGGGGAAGUGGCAGGCACAGUACCCCCGCCCCGGACCACCGCGGAGGUCCAGUGGUAAUGGUGAGAAGUGUGGGAUCUUCGAACGUUGGACCUGUUUCUAUCCUGUUUGUUCUGCUCUGUGAACUUUGGAGGAGACAUUCAUUGAUUGAAUGCACAUUUCUUGGGCACCAUCUAUGUGCCAAUAAA